GACGAACGCUGGCGGCGUGCUUAACACAUGCAAGUCGAACGGUGAAAGCGGAGCUUGCUCCGCUGGAUCAGUGGCGAACGGGUGAGUAACACGUGGGCAACCUGCCCCUCACUUCGGGAUAACUCCGGGAAACCGGGGCUAAUACCGGAUAUGACCUCCUUGGGCAUCCUUGGAGGUGGAAAGCUUUUGCGGUGUGGGAUGGGCCCGCGGCCUAUCAGCUUGUUGGUGGGGUAAUGGCCUACCAAGGCGACGACGGGUAGCCGGCCUGAGAGGGUGACCGGCCACACUGGGACUGAGAUACGGCCCAGACUCCUACGGGAGGCAGCAGUGGGGAAUAUUGCACAAUGGGCGCAAGCCUGAUGCAGCGACGCCGCGUGAGGGAUGACGGCCUUCGGGUUGUAAACCUCUUUCAGUAGGGACGAAGCGCAAGUGACGGUACCUACAGAAGAAGGACCGGCCAACUACGUGCCAGCAGCCGCGGUAA
rnacentral:rRNA from 1 species